CGAGAUUACGCAAAAUUACGCAACGAGUCAUCGAUCGAAUUCCGAUUUUAAUUAUCGGAAGAAGAGCGGUGUGUGUAUCGAUCGUGCUAACGAGGCAUUGUCGUCAUCGUCGAAAGCAAGAGCCCAGCCGAGGCAUACAUAGUUGGCAUACUGUCAGCUCGGUGGUCCGGUGCCACUUCUCUAUGGGGAGACGAUGGCCGACGAUGCCGUCGGUAAUUAAAGCGAGUCACGGUGAUUGUUCGUGGCUGAUCUUGUCAUCGAUCGAAUCUCUGGACGGAUCUCUUCGAUAUAUAUCGGGUCGACAGUCCCCUUCCCCUCCAUUGCUUCGCGCCCUUGGAGACUGCGGUGCUGCGGCUUCCUGCGGCCGGCAAUUAAGAUAAUGCUCCCGUAAUCUCGUACGAUAUCUCGUCCGAUCGGAGGCAGAGGGGCAGCUCGUUGUCUCGAAGGUGCAGCUUCUUGUUUCACCUUCGAUGCAAUUCUAUCGGCAAGGAUUUUGCACCUGCGUUACGGUGCCUUUGCGCACGGGGGAGGGAGUUAGGGCGAUCGACCAGGUGCACGGAGGGACGAAAUAUUGUUGCUCAAUGAAACGUGAUUAAUCGAUGGAUAAUUAACACGUUAAUGAGCGGUGACGUGGUUUUACGAGCGAGUAAGGAUCGAUCGGACAAUCGAUCGUGGAUUUGGAUUUUAAGGAACGAGGAUUCUUUGAAAAAUGAGAAUAAAACAGGCUAAGUGAGACCGUAAGUAAAAUCCUUCCUCCUCUCGCUUCCAUCGUUUCCAUCGGCGGAACUUGGAUCUUCCCCUCGGCUGGACAGAUCGAGAAACGAUGGCUUUGUAAUGUGAUUAAUUAUAGGCGAAGAAACCGGCGCGGUAAAGGCGAGAAGAAUCGUAGGUAAUGAGAAUCGUCCGCGUUACCGCGGUCAUCGAUCAACGGGCGAUGCCCGCUAAUUGCCGAUCGAAUAACGAUCCAACCUCGGUCGCGCUCGACUUGGAAAACGGAACGACGACGGGAACCUUUACAAUUUAUCGCGGGGCUGUUAUCGAUUUUUUUCUACACAUAAUUCAUCGCGUUCACCGCGUGGUUGACACGAGUUUCGCGUCGUUUGUCGGCCGACCGCCGCGGAAUCUAUCGAUCCGAUCGAUAGAUCGGGCCGAUAAACGGCGAGCACGGUGAAUAGCAAACGACUGAAAAGAUUUCCAACGUGGCGUUUCGAACGGGUCGAGCGGUGCCACCCUGCGUGUGUCGUAAUCCGGGAAUAGUCGGGGCAACAACACCUGUUACCUCGCCUCGCUUGCGUGCGGCGAAUGCAGACCAUCGCGAUAAGCGGAGGAUUUUUCGCGGCGGCAGACCGUUCGCAGAUCGUUCGAUCGCUCGAUCGAUCCAACGUGAUUUACUCGAAUGCCGGGACGCUCACCGGCCCGUGAAACGGUAAUCGAUCGCCGAUCGGAGCCCCGGAUGAGAUUUUUGACGGGGAGAGACCAGUUUCUGCUCCCCUUUUUUUCUUUUUUUCCUUUUCUUUUUUAGUGCGGUUAAUUGGUUUAUAGGUGUGGUAAGAGGGAUCGAAGGUGAACGAAAUUGAUAAUCGCGAAAUCUUUGUCCAAUUGAUUUGUUCUUUUCUCCCGAAAUGCAAAGAGUUUUGCUUCGAUUUAAAUAUCUUUCGCCAUCAUAUUUCGCAUAUCUAAGUUUAAGGGACAAUCCUUCGAGCAAAUGAAUUUUCUUAUUAAUUUUUCUCCUGGAUUAUAUAUAUAAAUACAAACAAAAAUACUCGUCCAAAUACUCGCGCUAUUAACCAAUAACUAUUCGUUUUUGUUUCAGAAUAUUCUUCCCUAAUUCCAAGACUCUUGUCCGUGGAAACGCGUGCCGAAACGCGAAUCUCCAAGAGAAAGAGCCAAUAUCGAAGUUCCUCCGAUAUCGCGUUGCUGAUCAAUAUUCGUUUUUGUUUCAGAAUGGCCGAUUCUCUCCGAAUUCGUAGGACUCCGCAUUCGUGAAAACGCGGCUUGAAACGGGGAAUUGCUGGGAAAAAAGAGGGAAUUUUUUCAGGUAGGCCGGUGCACGUGGUCUCAGAAGCGGUCUCCAACGAGGAACGUUCACUAUUCCCCUCUCCGGGAUAUCCACGGCUCGGAUACCGUAGGACGAAAGGACGGCACACGAUUGAUUCCUUCUGCAAACGAUCAUUCAGAUUCUCUUCGUCCAUGCUACUUCACUCGAACAUCGGCCGCUGCAUUUAAAAUUCUACAAACGCUGGAAUAUUUUUAUCUUUCACGUAUUAAUAACGAAACUCCACCGUCGGAAUUUCCAAAUACAAACGAACCGGUCCACAUUUAGAUUUUCCGUCGUAUCGUGUGAACAAGUAAAAAAAGAAAAAAAAAAGAAAGAAAGAAAAGAAAAGAAAAGAAAAAGAAAAAAAAAUAGGUUCGUAUGGGGACGUCGCAGGUCCGAAGAUCACGAACCGGCGCAUAUGGAGAGGCCGUGAAGCGGAUGAGGGGUCAGAGUACUUCCUACACGCUGUGCCUAUGGGGUACCCAUACGUGUACGCGAUUACGUGGGCAACGACGUGUGGGACAUCAUAGAACGGCCACGAGGCAACGCACCACCUGUUGAAUCUCUCGAGAGGGUCACAGAGGGAAUACGCGCUUGACUGCGAGACAGUUACUAUAUCGUUUCACCGGAACGAAGAGUGAUUCAUCGUGGAGGGAACGUUGGCCAGGAAAUGUGGAGUGUUUGCGGAGGAUUAUAUCGACCUACGCCGAACUUACUAUUAAUUUGCUGCGUGGACAAUGGUGCUAAUGGAUUUUACGGAAGAAAAAUUCCUUUGAAUUAAUCGGCCGAAUGAAUUAAAUUGAGGAUCGAUCUAGAAAGAAAAAAAUUACAAAAGGAUUAAGAAAAAUUUCUCGAUAUAAAUUUCAAACAAAUGUGCAACGAAACAGAAGCCAUUGGACGAUAUCCAAUCCACUCCAUCCACGUGGAAAAAAGAAAGCACAUCGAGCGCGUAUCGUCGAGAUGACAGGAUAUAUCGCGUUGAAACAAUGAAGCCCAGCCUGUCGGAGUAAAAUCGCGGACGAGAUGGUGGCAAGAGGGAUACCCUGAUUCCCUCUCGAAGGUACCUGCACAAUACCUGAGCACCGGCGUGGGCGCACGAACCGCGUCUCAACCUGCUGAAACUCGUUCCGUGGUGGUAGGGCCUGACGAGUCUCCGCGAGAGCAACGUCGGCUUCCGAGGACGACGGCUGUCGUGCCUACCGGCUCGAAUCCGCUCCAACACGUAGAAUCGGCGCGAGCCCUAUAAACCACAGGAUUACAGGCGACACGCCGCGUCGUAAUUCUCCACGAUUAUUAAAUUCUCCGAUCGAGGUUAAAAAAUCCUAACUUCUUAGCUUCUCAAACGUACCUCGUUCUCGCUUUGCUCCACUCUUUCCCAUUCUCGUAAGAAGAUUGAUUCUCAUUGCGAGUUUCUGCGAGUAUCGGACUCCAAGUUUGGAACAGAUGUUUCCAAGUAAAUAUCUCUUCAAUUCUUCUCAAUGUAAAUUAUCUUACGGAUUACGGAUUGAAACGUUAAUUUUUUUUUCAACAAUUCCUCAAAAUCUUCUUAAAAUCGAUGUAUCGUGUACGUAACGAUACUUACGUGAACGGAUGGAUUCGAGGAUAUUGUAGCGACGCGCGUCGCAACUCGAGUGGUAAUUUGUCCGAGAUGGGUCAUUACGAGCUUGAGGCUCUCUCGUCCAGCACGGGACAGAGGUGUUUGGAGGAGGGCCUUGCGAGAAAGCGGGGCCCUCGCUGACCCCAUCGUGAACCGCGGCCGUCAAAAGUCGCGCGCGCGCGUGCGCGAGCACGAGGCCUGUUUGGAUCUCUGGCAAUUUCGGCGAGGGGCAAAAAAGGAGGAGGCGGGCGUAAAAACGCAUCGGCGAGAAGAGUGGCACGGUAGACAGAUAUAUACGCGGCGUGGAUCAGCUUCCACGAUGGCCCAUCCACGUUCGUUCCAUUUCGGUGAAAUGGGCCUCGAGACACCGAAACACCGGUUACCUCGAACGCGUCCAACUGCUGGUUCGAGCUGGAAUUUCUUCUUUCUCUCCCUCCCCCCGGCUUCAGAAGGUUAAUUGGUUUGAUGGGGGUCGCUGGGUAUCGUUGCGUAAGGGGGUAGUCGAGAAAUUUUCAUUCCACGGGAGAGGUGUCAGUUUUUACAGUUACACACUGGGAUGUAUUAAAAAUUCGAGGCACGAGGGACGGCACGAAGGACGGAGGAGGUGAGAUUGAAACGAGAAAUUCGAAUGGCGUUCACGAGGGAUUCCUUUAUCGAUCCUUUCAACGAUUCGAUUCAAGGAUUAUGCAAAUGGAGGAAAAUUGAAUCCAUCCUCGAGAUGGAUUCUUCGUAUCGCGAGUAUCCUCUCCUCGACUUGCAAAUUUUCUCCUCGAUUAAAGGGGGAAAGGAGGAGAGGAGGGGGGGAGGUAACUUUGAACGUGGCUUCUCGCACGAGUUCCUCAUAAAACCCAAUCAUCGUGGGCAAAGUAACCGUGCCAGAGAAUGUUUAAAUAUACCGGUGAGCAAGAUUGCGGUAAAUGGAGGUUGGACGGUGUUAAUUGAGAAAUACAGAUUCGCGUGAAUAACACGGAGCAGAGAUGGGGAGGGAGAGAGAGAGAGGAGAGUGGAGAUUGGAGGGCAGUGGCGAUAAAUUCGAUCGUACGGGACAAAUUGCCAAUAAAAUUGGCGUCCGCCGCGAUGGACCGACACGCACGUACCUGGCCUUAAGUCACAUAACUCCGUUCGUAACUCACCUGUUUUCGCGUGUAUCGGCCGAAAUUUUAACUUAUGCCGGCCAUUAUCCCGUCCAGCUGGCCCGUUCGGAGAAAAAUUAUUGCUGCACGUGUCGCACGGUAGAGAACCGUCACGAUAGGACAAGAUAUUUGCAACCCGGACGUUUCUCGCCACGAAAAAGUUUCGACCGUUCCGUCCCGUUGCCCACGCUCCUCCCCUGGUCAAUUACACUUCUGGAAACUGUCCGCAAAAAAAAAAAAGAACAACUUUUGCGCGGUGGAUUUCGUGCAAAAUUGAAUCGAGCAAUUUGGAACGGAUUCGGCUGGGUUAAAGAUCCUUGUUCGAGAUCCACUUUACUCUUUAACACACCUGUGCCGUUGUUUUGAACUUUCAUUUCCAGUUUUACGCAUAGAUUUUGCUGCUCGCGUCGAGAAGAAAUAUAUGCAUAUAUAAAUAUAGAAAGUCAAGAUUAAAUUCUUAUUCUUUUCUUAGUUCAUUAAAAAUUACUUUUCCAUUCCACGUACAACAAGCAACAUUUUAACGAUACUUUGUGCAUACAUUUAUUUACUCGAGCCGAUUCACCGUACAUUCCAAGGCUCCAUUUUUUUUCGAAUCGAAGACGCGCUUUUCUCUCUCUUUCUGGCCUUCACGCCAGUUCAAGAAGCCAGAGAAUGCAACAACGAACUCGCGUAUCCGCACUUCUCUUCGGAUCGAGCGAGAGAGAGAGAACGAAAGAGAGAGAAACGCGGCUGAAUCAUCGUCGCUCGGUUGCGAAAGCGCGCUUUCCGCGGCUCGUUCUUCCGAUAAAUGCGCGCGUGUCCUUAAUCGGGCGACUGGCCGCCACGGAUUUAUGUAUGAUUAGUACAAGCGAACAGCUGUGCGCGGCCCCCUUGCCUCCCUUUUUCCUCUCUUCCCUCUCCCUUUUUCUCUUUUCCAUCGCUUUCCUCCCUUUUUCGGACACGGAACGGUCGCAAUUCUUUUUUCCACAGCGCGAAAUUUAUAAUGGAAAAUUGAGCUUCUCUCUUGUCGUCUGGCCGCGGUCUCCGUGACGCCCACGCCACGAGAUGGAGUUCACAGGUGCGGCUGGCAACCUGUAUCUUCGCGUGGAUGCGCGCGCGUGUCGCACGCACACGCGUUCCAAAGCGUGCGGCUGCGUGAUAUACUCGGCCCUUGUUCGCCUCGUUACGCCACGGGUGAGGCCAACCAGCCCGUUUCGGCCGCAUCAUCCGGAAUUCCUCCGUGUCCUCUUCUCUCCGUCUCUCCUUUUUCGGGAAUUCUUCUCGCUACGUGAUAAAACCAUCGUCGGGAAAAAUUGAAUUUCAUUCCCGGAAUUGUAGUCGUUUCAAACCAACCUGUCUCUUCGUGGAAUUUUCUUUCUUUCUUUCUUUUCUUUUCCUUCUCCUUUUCUUUCCUUUUUCUUUUCCCCUGGUGACUUGGAAAAUUCUCAGGAGGGGAUAAUUUCGGUUUCGAGUUUAUUUCGGUUUAAAGCAACUCGAGAGAAUGAAUUGAGAGAUAUUUAACGUUAUGGGUAUGGUAAAUAUAUGAUCGAUGA